rnacentral:rRNA from 1 species
AUUGAACGCUGGCGGCAUGCCUUACACAUGCAAGUCGAACGGUAACAGGUCUUCGGAUGCUGACGAGUGGCGAACGGGUGAGUAAUACAUCGGAACGUGCCUAGUAGUGGGGGAUAACUACUCGAAAGAGUGGCUAAUACCGCAUGAGAUCUACGGAUGAAAGCAGGGGAUCGCAAGACCUUGUGCUACUAGAGCGGCCGAUGGCAGAUUAGGUGGUUGGUGGGAUAAAGGCUUACCAAGCCGGCGAUCUGUAGCUGGUCUGAGAGGACGAUCAGCCACACUGGGACUGAGACACGGCCCAGACUCCUACGGGAGACAGCAGUGGGGAAUAUUGGGCAAUGGGCGAAAACCUGAUCCAGCAAUGCCGCGUGCAGGAUGAAGGCCUUCGGGUUGUAAACUGCUUUUGUACGGAACGAAAAGCCCCGGGUUAAUACCCUGGGGUCAUGACGGUACCGUAAGAAUAAGCACCGGCUAACUACGUGCCAGCCGCCGCCGUAA